rnacentral:rRNA from 1 species
UCCAGACUCCUACGGGAGGCAGCAGUGGGGGAUAUUGCAUAAUGGGGGGAACCCUGAUGCAGCGACGCCGCGUGGGUGAAGGAGUGCUUCGGCAUGUAAAGCCCUAUCGGCAGGGAAGAAGCAAGACGGUACCUGACUAAGAAGCUCCGGCUAACUACGUGCCAGCAGCCGCGGUAAUACGUAGGGAGCAAGCGUUGUCCGGAUUUACUGGGUGUAAAGGGAGCGUAGACGGAGAAGCAAGUCUGAAGUGAAAGCCCGUGGCUUAACCACGGGACUGCUUUGGAAACUGUUUGACUAGAGUGCUGGAGAGGUAAGUGGAAUUCCUAGUGUAGCGGUGAAAUGCGUAGAUAUUAGGAGAAACACCAGUGGCGAAGGCGGCUUACUGGACAGUAACUGACGUUGAGGCUCGAAAGCGUGGGGAGCAAACAGGAUUAGAUACCCCCGUA